rnacentral:lncRNA from 1 species
AUUUUUUGGACGUAUAUUGACUUCUAUGAUAUUGUUAAGCCUGUGUUAAAUCAUUUCUUGGACAUAUAUUUGCUUCUAUUUGAUUGCAAUAUCAAGCAUUGAUCUAAGAAAAUGAUAGAAUUGAAUUAUUACAAUAUGGCAGAUCUCUUACCAUUCGCAUUAUGUAUUCUGUAUAUUAAUCAUCAAUAUAUCAAGUAACUUUGUUGUGUUCCACAACUUUUGUAGCUUUAUGUGAAGAAAUGGUAAAAAUACUUUCACCGUUGUGGGAUUCUUUUUGUAUGUUGAUCAGCCAAGGGACCUUCUACAACCGUGAAUGUGAUACUGAGUCACAAAAUCUCACAUUCUCAGCUUAUAUUUGGAAACUAAAUAUAGAUGAGAACUUUUCAGUAGGAGCUCUGAGAAAAAUACACACAAUUUUGAUGGGCCUAAAGCUGGCUCAAGUUUGCAUCUUUGUGAUGAAGUGUCAGAUUAUGUGGUAAAGGCUAAUAAUAUCGUCGGAAAUCAUCAUGGGAACCAUAAAGAGAGUGAUGAUCUACUCUUGAUAUGCAAGCACAGCCCGUCAAAUUGAAAACCAGCAAUCCACUUUGUUUGAUAUACUUCAAAUAAAAUUCUCAACCUUGGAAAUGUGCCUUCUAAUAGAAGUACCUCUUCCCCUGUAUCAUUGUAGCAACAUGAUGAAAGUCAAAAUAUUUAAUUUAG